GACGAACGCUGGCGGCGUGCUUAACACAUGCAAGUCGAACGGCAAGGCCCUGCUUUUGUGGGGUGCUCGAGUGGCGAACGGGUGAGUAACACGUGAGUAACCUGCCCUUGACUUUGGGAUAACUUCAGGAAACUGGGGCUAAUACCGGAUAGGAGCUCCUGCUGCAUGGUGGGGGUUGGAAAGUUUCGGCGGUUGGGGAUGGACUGGCGGCUUAUCAGCUUGUUGGUGGGGUAGUGGCUUACCAAGGCUUUGACGGGUAGCCGGCCUGAGAGGGUGACCGGGGACAUUGGGACUGAGAGACGGACCAGACUCCUACGGGAGGCAGCAGUGGGGAAUAUUGCACAAUGGGCGGAAGCCUGAGGCAGCAACGCCGCGUGCGGGAUGACGGCCUGCGGGUUGUGAACCGCUUUAGCCUGUGACGAAGCGUGAGUGACGGUAAUGGGUAAAGAAGCACCGGCUAACUACGUG
rnacentral:rRNA from 1 species